GAGAAGAAUUAGAAAUACAGAA
rnacentral:tRNA from 1 species